AGCAUAUGGAACAGUGAGGACCUUCUCCUUGGUCAUGUCCAGCAGUCCGAUGGAGUAUCGCUCACAGUUCAGAGAAGCCAGGAGUCCCCAGGCGAAGGGAGAAGAGGAUCCCACUUGCCCCUCGCGAGCUGCCCUGUCCUCGCAGUGAUGCCAGCAUGAACAGCAACAGACCAAAGUCAGCUCAUCUUUCCCACAGGCCCGGAUGCUUCUCUUCCCCUGCAUUCCCCAGGGCACAGCCAACCAGUGCACAAGGAUGGUGCCAUCUCUCUUUCCUAUUCAUUCCUCCCUGACCCCACCGACUGUCCUGCCGACACCGGGCCACCCACCUUUGUCAC